rnacentral:rRNA from 1 species
UGGGGAAUAUUGGACAAUGGGGGCAACCCUGAUCCAGCGAUGCCACGUGUGCGAUGAAGGCCUUCGGGUUGUAAAGCACUUUAGUGAGGGAGGAAAGGGAGCGUGCUAAUACCACGUUUUUUUGACAGUACCUCAAGAAUAAGCACCGGCAAACUCUGUGCCAGCAGCCGCGGUAAUACAGAGGGUGCAAGCGUUAAUCGGAAUUAUUGGGCGUAAAGGGCUUGUAGGCGGUAAUAUAAGUUAGGUGUGAAAACCCUGGGCUCAACCUGGGGCUGGCACUUAAUACUGUAUUGCUAGAGUAUAGGAGAGGAGAAGGGAAUUCCUGGUGUAGCGGUGAAAUGCGUAGAUAUCAGGAGGAACAUCAGUGGCGAAGGCGCUUCUCUGGCCUAAUACUGACGCUGAGGAGCGAAGGCGUGGGGAUCAAACAGG